GUGCAUGUUAAACCAAGAGUUGUGGCUCUGAAAUGGCUGCAGGUCUCCAACAACAUGCGAGAGCAAGGGGAAGGUCUUUGACUGCUGGGCCUCUUCUGCCUGUUGCUGUCACUCGCCCUUCCUAUACGU
ensembl:snoRNA